AUUGAACGCUGGCGGCAGGCUUAACACAUGCAAGUCGAGCGGAGAUGAGGUGCUUGCACCUUAUCUUAGCGGCGGACGGGUGAGUAAUGCUUAGGAAUCUGCCUAUUAGUGGGGGACAACAUUCCGAAAGGAAUGCUAAUACCGCAUACGUCCUACGGGAGAAAGCAGGGGAUCUUCGGACCUUGCGCUAAUAGAUGAGCCUAAGUCGGAUUAGCUAGUUGGUGGGGUAAAGGCCUACCAAGGCGACGAUCUGUAGCGGGUCUGAGAGGAUGAUCCGCCACACUGGGACUGAGACACGGCCCAGACUCCUACGGGAGGCAGCAGUGGGGAAUAUUGGACAAUGGGGGAACCCUGAUCCAGCCAUGCCGCGUGUGUGAAGAAGGCCUUAUGGUUGUAAAGCACUUUAAGCGAGGAGGAGGCUCUUUUGGUUAAUACCCAAGAUGAGUGGACGUUACUCGCAGAAUAAGCACCGGCUAACUCUGUGCCAGCAGCCGCCGUAA
rnacentral:rRNA from 1 species